rnacentral:rRNA from 1 species
GACGGAGGGUGCAAGCGUUGUUCGGAAUUACUGGGCGUAAAGGGCGCGUAGGCGGUCUGUUAAGUUCGGUGUGAAAGCCCCCGGCUCACCUGGGGAACUGCGCCGGAAACCGACAGACUCGAGUACCGGAGAGGAAAGCGGAAUUCCUGGUGUAGAGGUGAAAUGCGCAGAUAUCAGGAGGAACACCAAUUGCGAAGGCAGCUCGCUGGGACGGUACUGACGCUAAGGCGCGAAAGCGUGGGGAGCGAACAGG